rnacentral:lncRNA from 1 species
UCAGUGUGUGCGUGGGGAACGACCAGAGCAGGAAGAAAAAGGGUAAAACCCUAAACUCCACAAAAUCUUCUAAUUGAAGGUGCAAUUGAAGACCAAACUCGGAUUUGAAUACAUAUAAACGAUCACCGAGCUAAGGGGAUCGUAAGGUAUGUCGAAAUUUAUAGUUUGGUGAUAUUUUGAGUUUGUGAUAAUCAUGCAUGAAUGAAAUUUUAGUGUGAAUGAUUGAAUGUUAUAGUGAAAUUGACACUAGUAUAAGUCUAGGAACGAACCCUAGAUGUGAAAUUGGUAAUUAAAUGUCAUAAACAAGUGAUUGAAGGAUUAACCUUGUAAGUGGUAAAUGGGUUUUAUGAAAAUAUGAUGAACACUUGAAAAGUGAUGGUAAAUCUGAGAAAAAUUGAUGUUACGAUGCAAGAUUUGAUAUUGUUCAUGAGUGCUAGACAUAAGGGUUUGAUUUAAUGAUUGAAACUUGGUUAAAAAUAUUAGCCAUGAACUAAAUAGAAGAGGUAUAAAAAUCAUGCCCAUAAGGUGCUCGUUAGAAUGCCCAAGUGAAUCGUGUUGUCUACUAGUUUGUAUGUAGAGCUUGAUUUGAUGAUUUCAUGAGUAGUGAGUUUAUGACAAAUCUUGAUUUGUAUGAAAUUAAACAUGAUGGUAUGAUAAAAUUAGGAUUCAUAUGAUGACUUCUUGAAAUGGAUGAGGUUUUUGACAUCUCUUAGCCUACAAUCACUAUGUUAUAGGUUUCUAACCAUUACCAAGAGUUUAAUAAGGGUUUUAGCUAUGGAAAUGGGUUGCAUUUGAUGGUUUGGGUCGAAUUUAAAAGGACCCUAAACAUGAUUUCCGCAGCUUUUUAUAUGGAUUUUUACUAAUCUUAAAAAAAUCAUAUAAAAUCAACCGUUUAUCCGUUUCGGGUGUUCCAUACCUUUUCGGAAAGCUUAUGAAGUAAAUUUUUACUGUUUUUAAUCAUAAGAAACAAAUGUGGUUGUUAAAUAGGUCAAAAAGGCGAAUUAAAACUGCUGUUGAGAACUUGAAAGCUGUUAAAAAAAUGAAAAAUAUAGUUGCUGAGCUGAUUUUAUAAAAAUCAUAUAAAAUCAUAGAAAAUUCGUCAGAAGGUGUACCUUAUAUGUUUGCGAAGGUAUUGGAGUGUUCUACGAUCCAUCUUUGAACAUGUUGAUCUAAUUCAGAUUUUAAACGGGUCAAAAUGGUCAAUCACAGCAGCUAAAUAGAAAAUCGCUGCACAUAAAUAAUGUUUUUAUUAACCAAGAAAAAGACAUAGGAUUGUAUAUACUUGCUUUAGGCAUGAAGUAUUGAUUGUUGGGAACAAAUGGCACUUUAUGUGACAUGCUUAAAGUGUUUAAAAUCACUUACUAACUAGUUGUAUAAGUAACUUCACUAACGGGUCAAACGGUUAGUGAAUGAAAAGAAUUAUGGUAUGAAACUAAUUGUUGAAUAUAUGGCAUGUUUUGAUUGAUAAGUGUGUAAAAAAAAGGGGUCCAUAGGGUGUUGGCCAUUAUAUAGGAUGACCAAUCUAACCAUCUUAUGGAUGUUAUGAUAUAGUUGACUCUAAACAAGCUAGGUGGGAGCUUGGAAAGGAACGGGUCAAACGGAUCAUGGAUGCGAAGAAUGUUUGCGCGAACGCGAGGUAAGUAAAGCUUACACCCAUUUGUAGUAAACGUAUGUAUUUUAUAGAUGAUAAAUGUGACAACCGAUUACAUUCGAAAUUGAAGUUCCGACACUAAGCAAUAUGAGUCGGAACGAAUAAAAAUGAUCAAAACCAUGGUUAAUGGUAAAAUGGACAAAAGGGUAAUUUAGUCGUGAAUCGACUAAGAAUUUAUAAGAUUUCUUUAAGGUUACCUUAUAGCGAAACUAG